rnacentral:rRNA from 1 species
CUGGCGGCGUGCCUAACACAUGCAAGUCUGAGGAGAAUGGGAUUCUUCGGAUUCCCUAGUAAACUGGCGAAAGGGUGAGUAACGCGUAGGCAACCUACCCUGCAGCGGGGAAUAACACCGGGAAACUGGUGCUAAUACCGCAUAACAUCCCGGGAUCACAUGGUUCCGGUAUCAAAGAUUGCUUCGACUUGUCGAAGCGUCACUGUAGGAUGGGCCUGCGACCUAUUAGUUUGUUGGUAGGGUAACGGCCUACCAAGGCUACGAUGGGUAGCUGGUCUGAGAGGAUGAUCAGCCACACUGGCACUGAGACACGGGCCAGACUCCUACGGGAGGCAGCAGUGAGGAAUAUUGGGCAAUGGGCGCAAGCCUGACCCAGCAACGCCGCGUGAGUGAUGAAGUUCCGAGGAACGUAAAGCUCUGUUAGGAGGGAAGAAUGUCCGACUUGUCGGAAGUGACUGUACCUCCAAAGAAAGCUCCGGCUAACUCCGUGCCAGCCGCAGC